ACUGUUCGAUAUUGUAUGUCAGUCUUGUGAUUUGGUAAGCAUAACCGAGUGCAAUAAGGACGAAUUUUGGAUCUAGGUCAAAUAUGGCAGCUGUUGGAGAGCCUCUAACCUUGGCACGGGAUGUAAAGAGAGCUGUCGAAUUGCUGGAAAAGUUA